rnacentral:rRNA from 1 species
UACAGAGGGUGCGAGCGUUAAUCGGAAUUACUGGGCGUAAAGCGUGCGUAGACGGCUAUCUAAGUCGGGUGUGAAAGCCCCAGGCUCAACCUGGGAAUUGCAUUCGAGACUGAAUAGCUAGGGUACGGUAGAAAAAAGCGGAAUUUCCGAUGUAGCGGUGAAAUGCGUAGAUAUCGGGAGGAACACCUGUGGCGAAAGCGGCUCACUGGACCACAACUGACGCUGAGGCGCGAAAGCUAGGGGAGCAAACAGG